rnacentral:rRNA from 1 species
UACGUAGGGUGCGAGCGUUGUCCGGAAUUACUGGGCGUAAAGAGCUCGUAGGGGGUUUGUCGCGUUGUUCGUGAAAUUCCCUGGCUUAACUGGGGGCGUGCGGGCGAUACGGGCAGACUGGAGUACUGCAGGGGAGACUGGAAUUCCUGGUGUAGCGGUGGAAUGCGCAGAUAUCAGGAGGAACACCGGUGGCGAAGGCGGGUCUCUGGGCAGUAACUGACGCUGAGGAGCGAAAGCGUGGGGAGCGAACAGG